ensembl:lncRNA
CUGCUUAAUCUGGAACCAGGGUCAAAGCAGUGACUGCCUGUCGGAAGCCACCAGGCCAAGGUGUCUUUCUAUCAUGGCAGGUGUCUUAUCACCACACCCAGAGAGGGGCUUCCCUUGGAACUCUAGAAAGACAAUGACAGCAAAAAGGUGAAAAUGCUGAAUUCAAACACUGGACAGACCACACAUAGCUCAGAGUACAUCAUGAGGAACUCUGGGCUGGAAGAAGCACAAGCUGGAAUCAAGAUUGCCGGGAGAAAUAUCAAUAACCUCAGAUAUGCAGAUGACACCACCCUUAUGGCAGAAAGUGAAGAGGAACAAUAGAGCCUCUUGAUGAAAGUGAAAGAGGAGAGUGAAAAAGUUGGCUUUAAGCUCAACAUUCAGAAAACUAAGAUCUUGGCAUCUGGUCCCAUAACUUCAUGGCAAAUAGAUGGGGUAACAGUGGAAACAGUAUCAGACUAUUUAUUUGGGCUCCAAAAUCACUGCAGAUGGUGACUGUAGCCACGAAAUUAAAAGACGCUUACUCCUUGGAAGGAAAGUUAUGAUCAACCUAGAUAGCAUAUUCAAAAGCAGAGACAUUACUUUGCCAACAAAGGUCCGUCUAGUCAAGGCUACGGGUUUUCCAGUAGUCAUGUAUGGAUGUGAGAGUUGGACUGUGAAGAAAGCUGAGCGCUGGAGAAUUGAUGCUUUUGAACUGUGGUGUUGGAGAAGACUCUUGAGAGUCCCUUGGACUGCAAGGAGAUCCAACCAAUCCAUUCUAAAGGAGAUCAGUCCUGGGUGUUCUUUGGAAGGAAUGAUGCUAAAGCUGAAACUCCAGUACUUUGGCCACUUCAUGUGAAGAGUUGACUCAUUGGAAAAGAC